GAAUUUAGAUGGAAGGAGUCCAGAUCUUACAGCAUGGUCAUCUCAAGUAAGGCUUGUUCCCCACAGCAGUACAGUACUGGAGACCUGACCUCAUUGGCUCCCAUCCCAAAUCCAUGGAAGUCUCUGCAGUUCUAACCCCAGUAAUGUUCAGGGGUGCCAACUCAAGUAAAAUAUGAGGGGGAGGGGAGUGCCAGGUAAGCCUCACCCCACAUAAUUGAUCACAAGACACAGCACACACAAACACACCAUUUGAAUGGCGAUGCCCAUCAGCUUGGGUGGGCAGCCUCCUCAAAUAUUUUAUGGGGGCGGGGGGUGAAGGGACCUUGGCCCCUAGGAGUUGGCUUCUAUACUAAUGUUGACGCUUCAACAAGGGUGGAGGUGAAAAGGAAUUCAGUCAGAGCAGGCUGGGGGUGGACAGGGGGAAGGCUACACACCCUGCUCCUGGACCUUUGCAAUGACACAAAAUCAUAGCAAUGUUUGUACAACAAGAUUGCUGCACCAGUACAACAACAAGCAGGUCUCAUCCUGUGGUGAGUUUUGGGAUCAGUCUUCAGCUGCAGCCCAACAAACCCAAAGAACUUGAGUAUAUAACCAAGGUGGUCUAUCUCCAUUCAAAUCAGAGGGCAGCAGGAGCAAAAGCAAAAUGGAAGAUCACUCUACAAUAGAGGAGAUACUGCAGGUAAAUAGUAAUCUGUUGUUUGAAAACUUCGAGUGCAGCUUUUGCCAACCUGGUGACCUGCAGAUGUUUUGGAUUGCAACUCCUACCAAUCUCAGACAGAAGGGCUGUGAUGGCUGGUGCUGAUGGAUGUUGUAGUCCAAAACACCUGGAGGCCAGCAGGUUGGGGUAGGCUGUCCUAAUAUCUUCUGACGAACCUGAUCUUAGGGAUCGGCUUAAUACACAAGUAGCAACACAUCUUGCCAAACACAGUUCUACUCCUGGAGAGAGAAGUAGAAUUAGCUGCCCCAAUUGCCAGCCUUUACCUCUGUCCCUGGGACACGGAUGGCACUGUGGGUUAAACCACAGAGCUUAGGACUUGCCGAUCAGAAGGUCAGUAGUUUGAAUCCCCCUGACGGGGUGAGCUCCCAUUGCUCAGUCCCUGCUCCUGCCAACCUAGCAGUUCGAAAGCAUGUCAAAGUGCAAGUAGAUAAAUAGGUACCACUCCAGCGGGAAGGUAAACGGCGUUUCCGUGUGCUGCUCUGGUUCGCCAGAAGCAGCUUAGUCAGGCUGGCCACAUGACCCGGAAGCUGUACACCGGCUCCCUCGGCCAAUAAAGUGAGAUGAGCGCCGCAACCCCAGAGUCGGUCACGACUGGACCUAAUGGUCAGGGGUCCCUUUACCUUUACCUUUUCACCUCUGUCCCUACAGUCUGUGGCAGGAUUGGGGAAUCUGUGGCUCACUGAAAGAUAUUGAACUCCAACUCCCUUCUUCCCUGACCUUUGGCUAUGCUGACUGAGGCUGAUGAUGGUUGCGUAGCAACAACAUCUGGAGGGCCCACAGCAGCUGGUUCAGCAGCUGGUAGCUGGAGGGGGACAGACUUUCCCAGCCAGAUGGUUGCAUUUGAUUCUUGCCAGCUUUCCGAAGGUCACACUUGUACCUUUGUUUGCCAGGCUGUUUUCUACACAUCCCUCUCACUGUUGUCCAUCUAGGCAAGCAAGAAGCACGAUCAGAGUUCAAGGGCACAUUCCAGCUAGGCAAAUAUUAUUCAAGGACAAUUUGAAGCAGGGAUGAUGAAUGGUGUGGCACAGGUAGAGGGGCAUGGCUGAGAAAAGACUCCAAAUAACAGAUACAGUGGAGUGGUACCUUGGGUUACAUACACUUCAGGUUACAAACUCUGCUAACCGGGAAGUAGUAUCUUGGGUUAAGAAUUUUGCCCCAGGAUGAGAAUAAAAAUAGUGCAGUGGUGGCUUAGCGGCAACGGGAGGCCCCAUUAGCUGAAGUGGUACCUCCAGUUGAGAACGGUUUUAGGUUAAGAACAGCCCUCCGGAACGAAUUCAGUUCGUAACCUGAGGUACCACUGUACUGAUUUCAUUCAUUUGUAAGAUUUCUUACCUGCCCUUUGCCACAGGGUGGGUUACAACAAACUUAUCAUGAAAUUUAAAAAAGCUCAUUCAAUUGGAAAGAUAAGUAAAACAAUUCCAAUAUAGGUUAAACAAAACAGAAGAGAUGGGUCCACCCCCCCAAAAAAAAAUCUGUCAAGAUUGAGAGACCUGGAGUGCCUCAAGGAUGCCACUCAGUGGGGCGAGAGAGGCACCAGUCUACGUUCAUGCAUCAGAAGCAUGGAUCAGAAGCACAAGACAACCAAGGUCAGUGUCAAUUCUUUCUUUCUUUCUUUCUUUCUUUCUUUCUUUCUUUCUUUCUUUCUUUGACAUUUUAAUUUCAUGCCUACUACUGUAUAUAAAUGACCUGCUAUACAUGAAAACAUUUUAAAUACACCAACUAAGUUAACUUAGAGAUGAGCUUGUUCCUCCAUAGUUAUAACUGAUCUCUCCUGCUGGGUCCUAAGGAUUUCUAAACUCUUAGAGGAUGGAGCUAUUCCUCUGGGCUUGGAGACUAAAUAGAUCCUGAAAAGCAACUUUUCAAGCAUUUCACUAAUAUGAACAUGUUGUAGUCAGAAUGAAGUAUUUUUCAAAAAACACACAUUUCUCUUUUAAAUCAGGGCUUGUGGAGAGCAAAAGGACAUUCCAAGGGACCUGGUGAAUUUUAAUAAAAAUGUCACGUUUUGUUUAUUUGUUUGAGUAUUCAGCGGGCAGGGGCCGAGAAUAAACCACAUUACAGUAUUUUUCCAAUACAAAUGUCAUGUUCUGAAUGCCUCUACACCCAAUUUAUAAACUGGCAAAGGGAAUAUGUCAAUAAUAAAAAAUUAUCUUGAUUGCAUCUUGGUGGGGAAGCAGUGAGAUCCAGAUCCAGAAUGUUUUGAUGUCAGUGCCCAAAACUUUUGAAAUGAUUAAAAUUAUAAGCCAAUAUUUUUAAUUUUAUUAAAAUUCUAUUCAUAUCACUCAGAUUUAUGUUUUAUUCAACAUAUCAUUCCAUAUGCAUUUAUUUAUUUAUCGCAGAACCAGCUGUAGUAUACAUGAUGCAGCUGAUAUAUGGAUUUAAUAAAAAAAAAGCCAAGGAAAACAACAUUCAGAUGCUGGCACAGUGCUCCAUACAUCUAUGAAGUUCCUACAUGAAUGGUCGUCUCCUCUUCUGGGGUUCAGUAGAAAGGAUGGGUUCAUAGACAGGCACCCUUUUGCUGUCUCUUCCACUUAGCAAAGGCUUUGCUUCCACUAAGUGAAAAACCCUUGCUCCUAAAGGAAAUCCACAUACACACAGAGAAAUGUCUUGAUCGAAUGGAUCUCCCUUUCUGCAGGCACACUAGAAUCACUUAGCCAGAGAUGCUCCCUUAGGUGCUGUCUACAUAUUCCAGCCUAUCACGGGAGCUGCUUUUCUAUGAAUUCGCCCAACAGUGUUGCUGCCAUACUUAAAAGCCUGCAACCACAUGGGCGGGGCCCAGGGUCAGGAUCUUUCCUUCAGAAUAGGCACUACCCACCACUAUCACCACCAAGAGCAUGAGUACUAUUCUAGAGGAAAGACUCGCAUGAUAGACCUCAUUCACAUAUUCGCACACUUUAAAAAGUGACAGCUGCCCUGCUGUCAUGGAGAAGUUGGAGAAGUUGAUUCUAGGAUGGGACUAUGACAUGCUGAGGAAACCUGAGUCAGCUCCAGAUCUCGCCUGCAACAACUAAAUUAUCUGACAUUUGGCAGCCACUUGAAGCUAAGUGCAUUUGGAUCUGGACAGGAGAUUGCCUGGGGAUGUUGUGUACAUUGCACUGCCUUGAUUUCCAUGAUGCAAAAGAGGUGGGAUAUAAAUAUCCUCAAAAAAUAAAGGGAUUCGAGACAAGAUCAUCAAAUCCCAGGAUGUCAACUUCUGGGCCCAAACCAGGGAUAUUUUCAGCAGAUGGAUUAAUUACUUCUCCUCCCAUUUGGACUACUGCAGUGUGCUCUACAUGGGGCUACCCUUGAAAACAAUCUAGAAACUGCAGUUGGUGCAAAAUGUGACAGGCAGACUGCUGAGCUAAGCAGUGAGGUAAUACCAUGUGUUGCUGGUCCUAGAAGCAAUGCAUUGGCAGCCUGUGAGCUGGUGGGUCAAAAUCAAUCUGGUGGUAGAAGGCAGCUUGGGGCACAAGUACCUAAAACAUGCCUCUCCCAUUUCAACCAUCCUGAGCCUUAAGAGCAGCAGGGGUGGCCUUGCUCACAGUGUCAGCAAUGAGCAUGGCUAGAGGGCAGUGCCCUGAUUAUGAAACACCCUCCCUAUGGAAGUCUGCUUGUCCCUCUAUAUUACCAUCAGUUAAACACAAACUGAAAACAUUUUUGUCCACCAAGGCAUUUAGUAUGUGAACAGUGGGUAGGUUUUAAGCAGAUGGAAAUUGCUGUACAUGUUUUGAAAUGGCCUUUUGGUUGUUUUAAACUUUUGAAAUUGUUUUAAUUAGAAUGUUUUAAUUAGGAUGUUGCAUGGUUGCCCAAGACUCUUCAGAAGGCAGGGUAGAAGCAAAGUCAUAUUAAUAAUAAGAUGAUGAUGAUGAUGAUGCAUUUAUACAUACAUACACAACAAUGUGAUCAGUAGCCAGACAUGCACACUAGUGCCAUCAAUGCUCCACCUCAGUCACUGAGAUCCUCUAAUGAGGCACUUCUAUGGUUCCUCACACCUCUGAGGUUUAAUCAGCCUUUACUAGGGACCAAACUUUUAGUGUGGCAGACCCUGCCCUGUGGAACUCCCGGCCAGUAGAGGUUUGGAAGAAGCUAUUCCUGCCUUCUUUUAGACAUUGCCUAAAAAUUAAACAAGCCUUGGAAAUGUGAAUUUUCUUUUAUUUAUAGUGAGUUGGCCUGAUAUUUUUCCUGAUGCCUUAUUGAUGUUUUAAUAUUAUAAUUCUUGUAUAUGGUACACACCACCUUAUAUUUUUACAAAAAUGCAGGAAAGAAAGAAAGAAAGAAAGAACUUAGCACUUUACAAAGUAGCAUGAGUUUGAUGGUGUGGAUGUGGAGUGAUGGUUAGGCUGAAUGCCUGGACCCUAAUUCUUGGAAUAACCAGGCUAGUUUCUUAGGGAGGUGCUAGUCUGGGUGAUGGGCCAUUAAUGGGAACAAAGGAAGGGGCUCUGUGUUGCACCCCCUCCCUCAACUUGUCGGUAGUUGGAAGGGGAAAGGCAGAGUUGAGAGCAGAGAGUAGGAGUGUGUAAGCUAGAAGCUGGAGAAUAAGCAGGCUGAAACCUGUGGAGAAGAGCGAUGCCUAAUCUCUAUUUGGAUCCAAGGCUGUGCUAUGAGUGAAGCAAGACCCUCUUGGGGUAAUAAUGCUGUGAACCCCUCCAUUGUGGGCUCAGGCUGUAUAUGUGUGUAAAUAAACCAUAUAUCAUAAGACACCACAGUUUCUGCUAUAUCUAAUUCCAAAGGAAACAUGGUCCCUGGGUAAGCAUCUGAAACCCCUGGAAUCUCACACCUCUUGGAGAUUGGGUUGGCAUGCAUCAACGUGGAAGAAAGGGCUUCUGCCUCAAGGAGCUUACACUCUCCAUUUCGAGAGCAGAGGAGGCAACAGAAGGAAGAGGAGCAAAAGGAGAGACAUUUGUCAACGUGACACAAAUGCUAAACAGUGGUUCCCAAUGACAUCUGAGGCUCACAACAUAAACACUCUUGCUAUAUUAUGCUAGAUGGUAAAGAUGGAUAACAUAUGUUGAGAAGCCUUUAAAGUCACUUGUAUUAAUAGCUGUUGAAGUAAACAUAUGGGUUUGGAGGCUUUGUUUUUUGUUAAGCCCAUGCACCAUAUGGGAGUGUCACCAUCACCUCUGACAGCAGAGCAAAGAUACAAUAAUUAAAUUUCAGAAAAGUGUGUGUGUGUGUGUAAGAAACCAAUGAGGAAACAUUUUGAAAAUACACUAUGAAUAGAAGGAAACCCCAAGUAGAUGCUUUGUAGCAACUAAAAGAAAAAAGAAAAAGAUUGUUUGGAACAUGUGCACUAAAUACCACGAUAGAAGGAGGAUUUCAGGAUCUGCGAGGCAAGUCAUAUUAUACAAUAAGAGCCCACAGUCAUUUGAGAAGUCUGAGGCCACAUGGACACCAUACAUUUAAUGCACUGUUAUACAACUUUAAACAGCCAUGACUGCCCCAAAGAAUUAUGGGAGCUGUAAUUAUAUAGUAAUAAUAAUCUUAGAACAUAGAAGAGGGCAUGGCUGUGAGAGGAUAUACAGUAGCUGUCACUCUCAAGAAGGGACCCCUGCACUUCUGAAUUUGCCACUACACGGUUGUUUAUACAGUGCAGUAAAAGCAGGACAAAAAAGAAAGCUUCCUGGAACAUCUAUGGUAUGAAAAGUUACAGUCUUUUUUUCCAGGAAAGUACAGGUCAUGGACUUUUUGCAAAUGAAGCAGCGUAAGCCAGGACUUGUGCAAUGGUAUUGAAACUGUGAUUGUGUAUAACCGCUAAAUCAAAUGGAUGUCUAGAGGCAUCCCAAAUGAUUAAGAAGGUUUGUGUAAUUGCUGAGGGUUUUGGAUCUUGUGUUUAUAUUAAAACUCACUGACUUUAUUAGGGUCAGAGAUGGGAGACUAGGAAAUAAAAGCAUUCUCAAAACAUUUUUGUUUUGUGUAGCAACAAUAAUAUUCAGGAUAAGGUGCCAUUUUAUGAAAUACUGAUUAUAUUGUAAAGCAGUUGUUAAUUUCAUUUUAUUGUUUAUAAUUGUUUUUGAAUACUAAAUGUAUAUAAAUAUAAAUAAAUUGUUUUUUAUUUUUUUAAAAGGAAAAAAUUGCAAUGUAAAGAACACAUUUAAAAUAAAAAUGUUACUAACAUAAUAUGUUCUAAUCACUAGUGAACCCAGGACCUCUAUACACAACUGCCCAGGCUUGUGCCCCAGUGAAGUCACUUAAAUGCUGCUAACGCAGUGGUUUGACUUCACCCCCAGAGGCGUGCUCCAUUGUCUCUUGAGACAGACAGAUGCCCACAACAUAACACGUAAUUUGGACUCUACAGGGAAAGGGCUUUUUAAGCCAUGUGAAGAACGCUAGUUGUUUCAAGAAAGAAUGCAACAAUGCAACCUCCACAGUUCAAUCAGAAAGAGAGAAAGCAGAUUCAGAGAGAUUGAGGAGAAACCAACAUUUCUCGACAUUCGAAAGCAGAGACUUCCCAUGCGUCGGCACAACAUGUGGGAUAUUUGAUGAAGAACAGCACAAGCAUUCAUGUGGUUACUGAUGGAUAUGCAAAUGAAAUUAGGAACACAUUCUAGGGGGUUGCCCACAUUUCAGCAUUGUUUAGCUGUUUGUCUACCCCCCUGUCCCAGUUCAAUUUAGACCUAGGAAUGAAGAGGGGAAACUGCAAACAGUAAGACUGGGGGACACACUAUGGCUGCUUUUGCGGUGAAAGAAAAAACCUUCCUUGGACAGAAUGCACAUUUGAUUUUUAAAUGGUUUUAGUUUUUACCCCUCUCUGUAUCACUGUCUCCUCCAACCUGAUGCCCUCCAGAUGUUUUUGGACUGCAACUCCAAAACAUUUGCAAGGCACCAGGUUGGCAAGGCUGCUCUAUCAUAUUUACGAUCUUCACAAGAGAUUGAUCCCUAUAGCAGUGCCCUUUGUGUCACUUCUGAAAGGGUCUGCUGAGCUAGUACAGCCACAGAAACAUCAAGGAUCCUGUGUUGAUAUGUGCUCUUGGGUUGCCAAGUGAGCAAAUAAACGUCAAGAUUAGCAUGCAGAUCAGAUGAAAAACUGAUGGCAGCUGAUUUAGGACUGAUCCUGUUCUUAGCCUUUAAAGCAGAGCUUUCCAAACUGUGUGUUGCAACACAUUAGUGUGUCAGUUGCAGUGUGUACGUGUGUUUUGUGAACGCUUCCCACGCUUCUCCCAGGGCUGGAAAGGGGUCGGUUUAACCUCCAGUUUGCUCGUAAAACUGAAUUACUGUGUCAUGAAAUGAUGCAUGCCUAAAAAGCGUGUCACCAACAUGAAAAGAUUGGAAAGCUCUUCCUUAAGGUGUGAAUACUACUUCUGCAAUGUGAACAAAGCACUCCAAGUCAGAUCAGAGCCCCUAGAAAGGCUUGUUUUGGUCUGUCACUGUUUUUCUGUACUCUCUCCUCUCCUAAUACUAUAUCUCUAUGUUUUCCUAUGUUUCUCAAGAUCCAUGGAUUUUGCAUAAAGUGAGGUUGUCCAGAAUGCUGCCUUCAGAGCUCUGAAGAGGUGUGGAUGAUUUAACUUUUUUAAAAACCAUGCAUUUCUAUGGUAGAAAAUAAAAUCCUCUGGAGCUCUUCAGCACUCCAUGGGUAGCAUUCUGCACAGCUUCAGUCUGCAAUGCCUUCUGGAAGAUGUGCCCUCUCUCCAAACACAAACAAGUACCAGAAAGUUAGGCUGGCCAUUGUGAAGCUGCUAAUGUGUUUGAAAGUGUACAAUCAAGAAGACACCAUACUCAGCCACCUCUUAUUUAUUUUAAGGUAAGAAAGAGCAAGAAACAAACACUCCCCACUUCAAAAAUAUGAAACUAAUAUGAAGUUUGGACUUUUAGUUGGUGUAAUAAAGUAUUGCCCUAAUAUGGAUGAAAGUGAAAUCCUUUUGCUUCCCCCACAAAAGCACCUGGACCAAUUUGUCUGCCAUUUAGUAGGCUCAGUUCACUCUGGAGGGGUUCCUGUGCCUGGAAAUUUCAUCCACUUUUGCCAAAAAGGAAAAAAAAUGUGCGGCCACCCUUAGACUCCCUAGAAGAGUGAAUGAGGAUUACAGAGCUUUGUUUUAUGCAGAGCAGCUUAAAACCUGAUUCACAGAAUGAAGUUGCCAGACCACAGAGUGACUUACAAACAGAUUAGAUUUUUAAAAGAAAAGCAUUGGUACAGAUAGAAGCUGAAUAUCAGGGCUGGUGCCCACUCUUACUAUGUGCUACCCUACAGUGUCAGAGAUAGUUUCUGAGAUACACAGUUGGGGAGAGUGUUGUUGCAAUUAUCUCCUGGUUAGGGGCUUCCUAUAGGUAUCUGGCUGGCCACAGUGAAAAGAGGAUCAUAGACUAGGUGGGUCUUUGGUCUGAUCCAGCAGGGCUCUUAUGUUCUUAAAUGCUUGAGGCACAGAUGGAAGGAUUAAAUUCCAAUUCCCACAUGAAAAGGUACCAAUCGAGCUUUAACCCUCCUCCAUGUGACUUUUUUCCUUUUUUCAAAACAAUACCCACAGUUUCUAGCCACACAUCUCUCAUACUGUCUAAGUUUUGCCUUUAGCUUUUGUCAGAUUUUUUUGGUUAAAAGAAUGCCAUGAUUUGAUAUUUCAUAUGGUUUUUAAUAUGUUUGUUUUGAGGUUUGUAAUUUAUUAUAUAUGUAAUAAAUAAACGAUAAAUGCAUAAAAUGACUUGGCCCCAACUUUGCUUUAUCCCCCGCCCCUCACAUGAAGAGAAUCCAAGUAUAGCAGAUAAUCUCAUAAAACUCAAUUUACCUUUUUCGACACUGCAACACAUCUGGGAACCAUUCAAGUAGACCUAAUAGGUUAUGAAGUGAGUUGGAAAGCAAAACGCUCUGCCUCUGUAGAUUUUUGGAAUACUGUAGUGAAAAUCGUAGAUCAGGGCCUUAACCUUGGUGAAUAGCCAGAGUAGUAGGUAUCUGAGGCAAUUUUUUUCUAGUUUCCAUGGCAUCAAAACUCAGGGAUCAAGCAAUCCUGCAGUGGGAAAAGUGUCCACCAUGUAGUUUCAGUGCAGACAUUCACAGACCAGUCAGAAUUGUUUACUUCAGGGGUGGGGAACACGUGACCUUCCAGAUGUAGCUGCACUCCAACUCCCAUCAUCACUGAUCAUUGGCUAUGCUGGCUGGAGCUGGUGGAACAUCAUCUGGAAGACCACAUGUUAGCCACUGCUGUUUUUACUAAGUACAAUGGGACUAAGUUCCAAGUGAGUGGGUGCAGGAUUGCAGUCCAAAAGGACAAAUAAGUCUAGCAACAAAGACAAACUCUGGCCCCAUCUGCACUAGACAUUUAAAGCUGUAUCAUACCACUUUAAACAGUCAUGGCUUCCCCUCACAGAGCUGAAAUUCUCAAGAGUGGUUUCAUUUUUUUUUAUUAUUAAUUGUAAGCCAUUUGGAGAAUUUGUUAUUACUGGAAAGACAGGAUGUAAUGGAG